rnacentral:miRNA from 1 species
CCCUAAAUUAUCUGGAGAUCUUAUUAAAAUGCAGACUCUGAUUUAAUAGGUGUGAUGUAGUGGGGCCUGAGACUCUGCAUUUCUACCAAGAUUCUGGGGCAUGUUGAU